GUCGCCUGCUCGGCUGGCGCUCUUGCUCCUCCCUCCCCGCUGGAGCCAUAAUCCUCUCCCUUUGAUAUCACAAUUGUCUCCAUGGCACUGAGUGGCCCUCGUGGCUCAGCGGGGGCUCGCAGCCCUUGGAGAAAGAUGGAAAUAACAGCAACAAAGACUCUCUUAAGAAAAGAAUAGUGUCCAUCUCCACACGUGCCCCCCUCCCAUCUCUUCCCCCUCCCCAGAAAAAUAUUUUUAGUAGAGAAGAUACCCAGGAACAGGGAGAAGGGCAGAAAGGCUCUCAGACAGAAGACUCUUUGCCACUGCUGUUCCAAGUGGGAUUAUUUAUUUUCCUCGUUAAGCAGCACGCCCGAGAGAGCUGGCUCCUGCCCUUGGUCUGAAAGGGGGAGCAGAGUGUCUGUCCAAGAGUAGGACAGACCCAGCUUCCGGAAGCUGGUGAGGAGCAGCUAGGCCUCCAGGAGGCCCACCUUUAUGCUCCACUCAAGUCCUGCCUGUUCAGAAGACUCCGCCUCGGCCCAGCCUCUCGCAGGUCGUGCCCCCAGCUGGACUGCUGACCCUUCAUAUGAAGGGGAGCCACAUGCCGAUGCCGGGACCAGAGGGAGUCCAUGAGUGAGGAGGGCUUCUUCUAAGGGACCCAGGCGAGAAUCCCCGCAUCCUCUUGGCCAGUUCUGAGGACUUCAGUUAUGUGCUCCUGUUCUCGCGGUGGGCUUAGAGCCCCAGCGUGUGUGUCCACCCACCCCCAUUUCAGAGUUCAUUUGAACCCCAGUCCUUAAACACGAGCCUUCCCGGGACCAUUCCCUCUGCAUCUUCGUGGAACUCUUGGACGAGUUCCCUGGACCAAGACUGGAGAUAGCUGCGUCCCAUGAUACCGGCCGAUUCACCAGACUGAGCCUUAAAUGUCAUUGUCCUCUACUGAGUCGGCUUCCACAGCACCUCGCCCACCCCAGGGGCAGAAUGUCAAGCAAAUUCGAGUCCUUGCUUUAUGGACAACAGCUCUGUUCAUUUCCAGAUCUUUUGGGGGACUCAUCUUUUGUAGAAAUUCAUAAGAUGUUCUUCCCAAGGAGAAUUCUGGAGAAGGAAGAGCUCUCACUCUGCUUCCCUUAUGACUGUCACCUCACUCAGCACUGUGGCUAGCUCCUGGUAAGGGCUCCUGGAUACUCCCUUCCUAGGUUCUAAGAUCGGGAGGACAUUAGGCUUUAUUUGGGCUGGGGGCAGUAGCUAUGGUGGGCUGGGCUGGAGCGUGGCAGUAGGUGGGGGAUGAGGAGUUGUUGGCGCAGGAAGUCAGGUAGGUGUUUCCAUUGUGGAGACGGAUGGUCCAUGGUCAGUGUAGGGACCAUGCUGGUAAAUAGGAGUUCUAGGGAAUUACAUCCAGGGCAUGGAGUGGAAUGGUUGGCAGGGAGUUGGCAAGGGGACAGAGUUGGCCUAGGCAUGCACUAGGAGUCCAGCCAAGCAGGCCAUGGCUUUAUCACUAGAGGGAACCAGAGUGAUGAGCGGGAAACCUAGGCUGGAGACCAAGGCUUCAAGUGGGCCAGGCGUGCUCGGACUAGGAAAGAGCACUUUGCUUUGGAAUGUAGGUAUUCUUGCCCGUGUGUGAGGCUGUG
rnacentral:lncRNA from 1 species